UGCCUCAAAAGUGGAGAUGAACGACUAUCAGAAGUGAUGGAGUGGAGGAGAAGAUCCCCUUAAAAAACCAUCUUCUUGCAAAGUGUGAUGACAGGGACAGUAAAAGAAGCUGAGGCAGCAAUGGGUAAACACUACUAAAGCAUAUUUGUAUAAUGAAGCUGCUUGCAAGUGGAGUGUGGAUCAGGAACUGCUUAUAUUCUAGGCUCUGAAAGGAGGAAAAGAGGAUGGUAAGUGGAUUUAUCCCUUGAGCGUCAGUAUCUACCUCUCUAAAGUAUGUUUUCUAAGUUCUUUGCUAAAAUUCUAGGACUUCAUCAAUGUGAUAGCCUUUAGGUUAACUCAGGUGCUGUUAUUUGUACCAUAGCUAACUUUAAAACUAGUCAUCUCAUUAGCAUGGCUUUUCAAAUACUAAAAUCCAUUCAGGAAGAAAAGCAUUAAAAACCUAGUUGAUAUACACUUUAAAAUUCC
rnacentral:lncRNA from 10 species